rnacentral:rRNA from 1 species
AUUGAACGCUGGCGGUAGGCCUAACACAUGCAAGUCGAACGGUAACAGGAUGAGGCUUUCUUCUUUGCUGUGGAGAGGCGGGCGGGGGAGAAAUGUACGUGAAACUGCCCUAUGGAGGGGGAGAACACCUGGAAACGGUAGCUAAUACAGCACAUACUCGCAACACCAGAGAGCAGGAGAUUCGCGCCUCUUGCCCUCGGGAAUGCCCCGAUGUGGGAUUAGCUAGUGGGUGGGGUAACGGCCCACCAAGGCGACGAUCCGUAGCUGGUCUGAGAGGAUGAUCAGCCACACUGGAACUGAGACACGGUCCAGACUCCUACGGGAGGCAGCAGUGGGGAAUAUUGGACAAUGGGCGCAAGCCUGAUGCAGCCAUGCCGCGUGGAUGAAGAAGGCCUUCGGGUUGUAAAGUACUUUUGUUGGGAAGGAAGAGAAUAAGGUUAAUACCUUGCCGUAUUGACGUUACCCGAAGAAGAAGCACCGGCUAACUUCGUG